UACGGCCCCAUCACAUUGAAGCGCAUGUUCUCGUACGAUCACCGAAGUUAAGCAACGGUGAGCUUGGUGAGUGUUUAAAUGGGUGACCGCUUGGAAAUAUCACGGUGCUGUAAG